rnacentral:lncRNA from 1 species
GAGGCUGAGUUUAUUUUUUAUGUUUGUAAUACUCUGUAAUAUUUAGAAAGUUCUUACAAGACCAGUAUAUUUAUUAACCAGAUAAAUUUUGUAUUAUACAAUUCUAUAAAUAAUUCGGAAUCAAUUAACUUUUAACAAUAAUAAAAUCCUAUAUAUUUUUUCAAUAUUAGAUAAACAUUAACAAGUUAAUUAUCUCCUUCAGCAAAUAUUGAUGUAGUUGGGUCAUUAUAUUGACUGCUAAGAGAAAGCUUGGUUUCAUAAAUCUGACAAAAGUUAAAGCUUAGUAUGUUUUAUUUUUGCAAAUAAUUGGUUUGUAGACAAUUGGUGCUUCAUAUUUGAUGAAUAAAUGAAAUUAGGUUACAAUAAAGCAGAGCUGUCAAUAUUUUCCCCAUAAUAUGGCGUUCAGAAAAUCUGUAAAUGUACAUAAAAUUUUGGAAAUGCAAAUGCCUUGUUUCCCUGCCUCUCUUGAAAUAUGCUGACCUUGGCUAAAAGACAACAAAUACCAUUAAAAAGUACAAGGCCUGUGAGAUAAUCGUAUAUAUUUUUCCAAGAACAAACCAGUCAGAUUUGUUUUCUCUCCCCAUUUUGCUUAUCAUUACAGCCUCACAGUCUACCUAAACACCUCUGGAGGGAGCUCUGUACCUUUUAGGACAUUAUCGUUUGAAGACAAUCUGUAACUUGGCUACAGUCUUGAGUAGCAAGAUGCUACAACCCUGAAAAGGUCAAAGAUGCUGUUCCUCUGGUUUACUUAUAGAUAGGACAACUUGUUUACAGCAAUUAAAAAAUCCAAAAUAAGCUAAUCAUAAGCUAGUAAUUUCCACUGUUGUGCCUUAAGGUUCAUAGUUAAGCAUGUAUAAAGCUUUGAUGACAAUUGCAAAGAAGCUGUGUUUGUGAAAGUUUACUGAAGUGCCAGGAGAGCUGCACAUAACAGGCAGUGCAGUAAAGUAGGAGUGUGGAAUUGGAAGAUGGACUGCCUCAGGAUGAAACCUAACUGCCACUUCCUGGUGUUGUGAACUUGGGCAAGUUCUGAGUUCUUCAUCUCUAAAAUACAGAUUCAGGAAAUAAUCGUACCUUUCUCAUUACAGGUGCUGGGAGAAUCAAACAGUUUAAUAUAUGUAAAAUGCUUAGAAACAUGCUGCCUGCCUGG